AGCCAUUGUCGAAACUUUUCUUUUUCUUUUGAGACAGAGUUUUGUUCUUGUUGCCCAAGCUGGAGUGCAAUGUCAGGAUCUUUGCUCACUGCAACCUCUGCCUCCCGGGUUCAAGCGAUUCUCCUGCCUCAGCCUCCCGAGUAGCUUGUAUUACAGGCGUCUGCCACCAAGCCCGGUUAAUUUUUGUAUUUUUAGUAGAGACAGGCUUUCGCCAUGAUGGCCAGGCUGGUCUGUAACUCCUGACCUCGUGAUCCGCUCGCCUUGGCCUCACAAAGUGCUGGGAUUACAGGCAUGAGCCACCAUGCCCCGUGAGACAAGUUUAUUAGAAAUGACUCUGGGCUGGGCGUGGUGGCAGGCACCUGUAAUCCCAGCUACUUGGGAGGUUGAGGCAGGAGAAUCGUGGGAACCUGGGAGGUGGAGGUUGCAGUGAGAAAAAAAAAAACAACGAAUGAUUCUAUUACAAAGCGGACGUGCUCAGAGAGCAGGAAGAACUCGCUGUCCUUUGUUAGUGUUUCUGCUUAUAAGAAACUACAAGGAAUCUCUACACGUAGACCUGAAUGUGCAGCUGUGCUCACCGAAGGUUGGGGCUGCUGGUGUUCCCGGUGACCAAUCACCUUCAGCCUCAGCCUGCUCACUGGCGCUUUCUCAGUGAAGUGGGCUGCACUCUCCGGAGGUCUGGACAUUCUCAGGCCUGCUGGGAAAUGUCCUGUAUGGCCAUAACUAUUUUGCAGCUAUUUGCAUAACUAUUUUGCAGUCAUAGUUGGUGGUCAGCUUGGGACAUAGCUGUUUUCAGCCCCUAAGCAUGAACUUUAUACUUGCCUUGUGAGUGCCAAGCUAGGGACUAUGAGAUGGAGUCACUCUGGUCGUGUUUUAUGAGGGUGGAGGCCUGGAAAAGGCAGAGCUUCCUCCAUCAUAACCAUCGUGGUGCCCCUGUCUGGGCCGGCUGUGUGCCAGCAUCACAGCCCCCGGACCAAGUACUGCUCCAUGCACCGAUGUCUGUUUUGCAGAAUUGGAAUCUCAGCUUCCGGAACCGCCCACUCCACCAUCAGCCAAGCCGGGACCACUCCAUAGUGCCUGGCCCCUGAGCUGUGCCCAUGCUCCUGUGUUGAAGACCUGGUUCCCGUGAGGGACCUGGCCCCUCAUUUGAACUCUCGGCACCUCAUUUCUCUCCUCUGUAAAACGGGGAUAGAAGGCCACCUCCCACAGCCCUGACUGCACAGGACAUCCUGCUCUGGCCUGGCGGGUGGAGGAAACAGUGGCCGAGCGAGAGGCGCUGACCUCCCAGAGUCGGGAAGCCUGGGCCAACCAGGGAAGACUUCCUGGAAGAGGUGACCGGGGCGGAGACCCAGUGAUGCGUCUGCUCCAGGCUAGGGGCUCGGUCCUCUUUUCUGUUUUGACCUCAUGGGGGAUGGAAUUUAGAGCGAUGGGAGCAGAAGCCAGCCUCUGAGCUCAGAGCAUGGCUACUGCUCUCUGCGAGUGGGUCCUGCUGAGGGAUCCUCUGUGGAUUAUCGGAUUAACGUUCAAUGCGUCCACACCAGAGGCUGAGCUAGCAAAGCCGGACAUCUCUAUUUACUCAACUUCUUAAACGCGACGGCCAGUACCCUGACGAUUUGGCCAUGUGAAAACCAAAGAGAAGAGGUAUUUUUUUUUUAAAUAUGUAGAACAAACAACACCAAAGUUAUUUUAUUCAUUCAAAGUGUGAAAAGGCCAACAAUAGCCUGGGGUGGGUGGGGGUGAAGGCACCCUGGCAGCCACCUUCCCUGGCGUCCCUGGCACGGAGCGGUGUCCCUGGCACGGAGCAGCGUCCCUGGCAUGGAGCAGCGUGGAGUGGGGUGGGUGUAGGGAGGGGUAAGGUGAGCACGGAAGCGAGGCGCCUGUGAGCGUAGCCAAACGAGGCGCAGAGGAGACCAGAAGGAAAGCCACCCACGGGCUGCGAGAUCGCGCAGGGGCGGUGGGAACCAGGGCAGCCUCUUCUCUCCAGGCCUGUUCCCUCCAGGUUCCAGCGUCCCUCUCACCGCAGCCCUUCCUUCUGCUCACGCAAAGCUCCUUGUUCUAAUUUGAAUUUCAAUGGAUGUACAAAGGUCAGACCUCAAACCCCUCCUGGUGAACCAGUCACCCAGUCGCUCCCCUGAGCUGGUGGCUUCUCCCUCGGCCCCUGCUUUUCUCCCUCUCCCUCGGCCCCUGCUUUUCCCCCACGUUGGCUGUUUCUCUGGUUUUGGACGUCCCUGCUGCUCGCUGUGCCGUGGACUCUUUCAGGUGCUGGGAAAUGUCUUCUGUGUGUUUGUUUGACAUCUGCCUCUCAGCUGCCAGUUGGUUCAUUCAGUAGAAAUCCCCUUCUUUCAGAUGAAGUCAGAUUUACCAAUGCUUUGCAGUGUAGUUUGGUCCCAGGGCCUCGGGGAUCUUGCUCCGUUCCCUUUUUUGGUUUCCUCCCCAUCUCCACUUUUUCUUUUUUUUUUUUCCCCCGAGAUGGAGUCUCCCUCUGUCACCCAGGCUGGAGUGAAGUGGCAUGAUCUCGGCUCACUGCAACCUCCACCUCCUGGGUUCAAGCGGUUUCCAGCUAAUUUUUGUAUUUUUGACAGAGACGGGGUUUCGCCAUGUUGGCCAGGCUGGUCUCAAACUCCUGACCACAAGUGAUCCACCUGACUCGGCCUUCCAGAGUGCUGGGAUUACAGGCCUGAGCCACCACGCCCGGCUUUCGUCGCUUUUAAGUGCGUAAUUCAGUGGCAUUAUGUACAUUCAGAAUGCUGUAUAACCAUCACCGCUACCCAUUUCUAGAAAUUUCUCACCUCACACAGACACUGUCCCCAUUAAACAAUAAUUCUCCACUGCUCUGGCUCCCGGUCGCUGCUGUUUUCUUUCCGUCUGUGUCUUCACCUGUUCUGAAUGUUUCAAAUAAACAGGCUCAUACGUUUGCACCCCUCACCCCCGCAAUUUUUUUUUUUUUUUUUUUUA
rnacentral:lncRNA from 10 species